UGAUAAUGGAGAAAUCCUGGACACAGGAGUUACAAACUUUUUUGGUUAGGUCACAAAUGAAAGAAACAUCAGCCAAAACCAAGUUGAGAGCAUAUUUCGAAUGCAUCAAACUGCACAUGAAUUUAACUUGAUUAAUACCAAAUAGAAUUCAUAAUGGAUAUAAUAGAGGCUUGAAUGACAACCCUACAUUGAGGGCCCCAGGACUUGUCACACAAAAGAAGAUGGUUGGAAAUGGAGCUAACUGUACCAACCCAGAGCAAGGAGAAUAACUAGUUCCAAAGCUUCUAAGCAUAGGUGCACCAAAAGAAUAAGUGGUAUGUGUUUUCCUGUUACUGUCUACACAAACUAGCGCUGGACAGAAUAAAGAAACCCAACCCAAACCGACCAAACCAUGUGGCCCCUUAGACACCGGUUCGGGUGAGUCGGUUUUUCGGUUUGACGGUUUGAAUAAUCUUGGGUUCACAUGGGUUAAACCGGUCGGUUUAGGUUUGAAUUUAUGGACCCGAUGAUAUCCUAAACCGACCGGUUCAGUAGAAAUUAUGUUAUAGACCAUAAAUUCCUAAAUCAACCGGCCGGCCCAACCAAAACCAAGACUCUCUCUCAGUCUCAAAUCUCAAUUCAUUAGUUUCACUUCUUCGUGAGAUUCAUACGCACAAACAGCAACGUUACUCCGCUAGGGUUCAUCAUUCUCUCAGUUCGUGGUUUCAUCGUUUAACGAAGAACCGUCGCCGUCCAUUAUUCAACCACAAAUCACCACCGAUAUUGAUUUUGUGAAGGUGUUGUCGGUAAAUAUUGUUCCUACUCAGCUCGCCGACAACUUCCGGAAGAAGCCUGAGGUGCCAGCUAAUUGAUCAUAGCACGCAAUGGGAAGAAGAUAAAUUUGAGUUUGGGUUGCCUACUCAACAACACUGAAAAUUAUUGGUGCGCGUUGGUAUAUUAAAGGAUAUGAAGUAGAAUUCGAUUAUGGUUCCAGUCCCACAACUAUUGGUUUAGAGGUUAUUAAUAGGCCCACAACUCUUGUUGUGAAGAGAUUGAUCUUUGAGACAGUAACCUUGAGGUGGAAGUUGAAUCAUUCUCUUUCGGAGUAACAACUUCAGGUAAGGUUGAUUGGAUAUUGCAUUGAAGGUUGAUUGGAUAUUGCAUUGCCGGAAUGGACUUGUCUCUUACAAUAUUGAAAAAUGCACACACUGCUAGAGAACUAAAAUGCACGCCAAAAUUGGACUAUACUUUUGAAUUAGUAACUCCUGCAACUGCACAGCCUUGGUUUUUCACAAGUCUCACCGAUGUAUUGGACGUUGAUUCACAUGUAAUCUUUUCCAUCAAUCUUUUGUAUUUACUUUAAUCCACUUAAUCUAUUUUUCACACUUUUUUGGCCCCA